GAUAGCAGAAGCAGCAUGUGGUGAGAGAAGCCCAUGCCUCUGGUCCUUCAGUUUACUCAACCCUCUCAGGUGCCCAGUAGCCCCUUCCCAUCAUCCCCAUCCAAGGUGGUGACUGGGCCCUACCUCUGACAAACCUUUAACCAGGUCUUGUCACCAGCUGUGGUGUCCCUUGGAGCUACGUAUCAGAGAGCUGCUGGGGAUUCUAACCUGGUCCUUUCAACACCCCUGACCCCUUGCUCUCAACCCAGAAGUGGCCUCCUCCUCUCUGUCUUGUGUGCUCUUUUUCUUUCUACCAGUAUUAUAUAUUCUAGUGAUAUCUAACUCAAUAUUGAUUUCUGCCUUUAUUGCUAAUGCGCCAUUAGAAAAUAUUAGUCUUGGGGCAGGAUCAUUUUGGCCUCAUUCCUUUACCUGGGCAGCAUAUACUAAAUUAUAAAAUGAUAUUUUGCCAGAAACAGUUAUGUAAGAAACUUUCAGUAUUAGUGAUAUUACCUGUCACUAUAGGUCAUACAAUCCAUUUUUAAAUCAUUUGGUAUUUGGUUUUAUUGUUCCUGUUUGCCUUCUCCCCAGGGUUUAGUCCCCCAUGGGCCUAUCCUUUCCCUCCAUGCAGUGCCCCUAACUGAGAGCCUUCCUCAAUCUCUGCCCCCCCACCUGACCCUGGGGAGUCUUGUGUGCAUUGCUGUGAAUUAUAUUAAUACUCACUUGGUGAUAUGCCCUGUUUUGGCUAAAUUCAAAUCUGGAAUUGUGGGGCAAUCUAGCUGCCUGAAGGGCAGUAACCU
rnacentral:lncRNA from 1 species